rnacentral:tRNA from 3 species
GGGCCUAUAGCUCAGUUGGUAGAGCCCCCGGCUCAUAACCGGUAGGUCACAGGUUCGAAUCCUGUUGGGCCCA